CACGUAGGGCGCAAGCGUUGUCCGGAAUUAUUGGGCGUAAAGAGCUCGUAGGUGGUCUGUUGCGUCCGCUGUGAAAACUCGGGGCUUAACCCCGAGCCUGCAGUGGAUACGGGCAGACUAGAGGUAGGUAGGGGAGAAUGGAAUUCCUGGUGGAGCGGUGAAAUGCGUAGAGAUCGGAAAGAACACCAACGGCGAAAGCACUCUGCUGGGCCGACACUGACACUGAGAGACGAAAGCUAGGGGAGCGAAUGGG
rnacentral:rRNA from 1 species